UCAAUGUAUGAUUUAAUUUCUCCCCCCAGGAAAAUCUUCUUGAAUAUUUGCUAGUUCUUCCCUCGAGAAUCAACGAGAACAAAAUCCAACUUCUUGCUUCUCAACUUCUUCUUAACUGGACUCACUCCCCUGAGGAUUGUGAGAAGUUAUGUUCUGUUGAAGACCUUACUGACAACUUGCUCUAUUUUGUUCAUUCAAAUGAUGCCAACAUUAUAAGAGUGAUUGCUACAAUUGCUCUCAGAAUCACAGAACCUAUCUCUUUAAGGUCUAAACUGAACAAUGAAGAUUUCCAGGAUUUCAUUUCAUAUUUACAAAACGCUUCAAGUGAUCGGCAAACAUGGAAUUUAACAGCGCAAGCUUUAGAUAACUUGCAGAAUAAACCAGAUUCGGGUUUCAUCCAGAAAAAUCCAGUUCGUCCUGCUAGCAGUUCCUCAUCUGAAGGAGAAACAUUCACCCAAUAAACAUUUAAUAAAACUAAAAUCUCUCAAAAAUUGAUAUUUUCAAAACAUUUUGUAAAUUGUAUGUCCAUGUAAAAUUGUAAACUGUACAUUUCUCAAUAGAAUCACACAUUUUAUAACACUUUAAUGUUAUUUUAUUUUAAUUUUCUCCGCUAUAUUUUGGUCACUAACUGUGUUGACUAAAUUGUCACUAAUUCAAAAAAAAAAAUUAUUAUUACCCACAAAGUUACACAUGUGGUAACACAUAAGCAGGCACGAAGUGUGUGAAACGGAACACGUGCGAUAACAACUGUCAUUGCCCCACCAUACAAGGAUAAAUAUCUUGCAUUCAUUCAUACUGUUGUAAUUUACACUGCACAUUUAACUUUUUAAUGGUGCAAUGCGUAUGGUAAUAAUUUCUAUAUAAUUUGUAAUGUCAUCAAAAUGUUAAAAAAUUGCGUAAUUUAUGCUCUUCCACAAAUUACAAUAAGCAACUUAUGAUAGUUUUUCAACAAUUUGUAAAUAUUUUAUUGUUUUUAUUUGCAAUCGAAGCUCUUAAAUCAUGCUAUGUGUUGUAGAAUAGAUGUCACUGUAGUUUACUUUGCACAUCACGAACGAUUUCUUCAAUAAAUUAAAAUUUCAUAAAA